rnacentral:rRNA from 1 species
GGCUCAGAACGAACGCUGGCGGCGUGCUUAACACAUGCAAGUCGAACGCGAAAGCAUCUCUUCGGAGAAGCGAGUAGAGUGGCGCACGGGUGAGUAACGCGUAGAUAAUCUACCCCUAUACCUGGGAUAACCACUCGAAAGGGUGGCUAAUACCGGAUACGCUUGUUUUAUCGCGAGGUAGAAUGAGUAAAGGUGACCUCUCGGCGAAGUUGCCGUAUAGGGAUGAGUCUGCGUACCAUUAGCUAGUAGGUGGGGUAAAAGCCUACCUAGGCUCCGAUGGUUAGCGGGUCUGAGAGGAUGAUCCGUCACACUGGAACUGGAACACGGACCAGACUCCUACGGGAGGCAGCAGUGAGGAAUAUUGCGCAAUGGGGGCAACCCUGACGCAGCGACGCCGCGUGAGUGAAGAAGGCCUUCGGGUUGUAAAGCUCUGUCAGGUGGGAAGAAGUGCAUAAUGGUUAAUAGCCAUAAUGUUUGACGAUACCGCCAAAGGAAGCACCGGCUAAAUCCGUGCCAGCGGCCGCGGUAAUACGGAUGGUGCGAGCGUUGUUCGGAAUCACUGGGCGUAAAGGGCGCGUAGGCGGCUUGAUAAGUUGGAUGUGAAAGCCCACGGCUUAACCGUGGAAGUGCAUCUAAAACUGUCUGGCUUGAGUAUCGGAGAGGAAAGUGGAAUUCCCGGUGUAGAGGUGAAAUUCGUAGAGAUCGGGAGGAAUACCGGUGGCGAAGGCGACUUUCUGGACGAA